AUUGAACGCUGGCGGCAGGCCUAACACUUGCAAGUCGAGCGGUAACACAGGGAGCUUGCUCCUGGGUGACGAGCGGCGGACGGGUGAGUAAUGUCUGGGAAACUGCCUGAUGGAGGGGGAUAACUACUGGAAACGGUAGCUAAUACCGCAUAACGUCGCAAGACCAAAGAGGGGGACCUUCGGGCCUCUUGCCAUCAGAUGUGCCCAGAUGGGAUUAGCUAGUAGGUGGGGUAACGGCUCACCUAGGCGACGAUCCCUAGCUGGUCUGAGAGGAUGACCAGCCACACUGGAACUGAGACACGGUCCAGACUCCUACGGGAGGCAGCAGUGGGGAAUAUUGCACAAUGGGCGCAAGCCUGAUGCAGCCAUGCCGCGUGUAUGAAGAAGGCCUUCGGGUUGUAAAGUACUUUCAGCGGGGAGGAAGGUGUUGAGGUUAAUAACCUCAGCAAUUGACGUUACCCGCAGAAGAAGCACCGGCUAACUCCGUGCCAGCCGCCGCAGUAA
rnacentral:rRNA from 1 species